rnacentral:lncRNA from 1 species
UUUGUUCUUUGUUUUGUGAUUUUGUUUUACAAAAAUAUUUCCUUUAAUGACUUAUAUUUUUAAUAAUCUGAACAGGUUGGUAUAUUCAUGAAUGGGAAUCUUCUUGCCCCAGAAAUGAANUGGAGCUUUCAGUGCAUGAUGCAGAAAUUGGUAUACUAAACACUAUUGCAUAGGCAGACGGAUAUUGUCCCCAUGUAAAUUUAAUAACUAAAAAGCAUUAAACUGUUAAGAGAGUAUGUCUUGCUUUUCUUAAUUGUUCUUGCAUUAACAUUAAACCAUGCAACCUUUAACUACAUACCGCAACGUGAGUUUUGCUUGACUAAAAAAACAACAGUUUUGGUUAGACUUUGCCAAUAGAACAAGUACAUCUAAUGGCCAUGCGUAUGUAUUUGUUCUUUGUUUUGUGAUUUUGUUUUACAAAAAUAUUUCCUUUAAUGACUUAUAUUUUUAAUAAUCUGAUCAGGUUGGUAUAUUCAUGAAUGGUAAUCUUCUUGCCCCAGAAAUGAAGCUCCUUGAUGUGGUGAAGCAAUGGAUGGCUAUUGUUGCUUCAGAGAGAAAAAUAACCAAAGGAUGUUCUUCCGAGAACUUCUGUGUGAUGCUCACUUUUGCUCGAAGAGAGUAGACAAGCAGUGGACAACUAUUUUUGGAAUCACCAGGAAAACAUGGCAAUUGAAAUUUGUUUCUAAUGCUUCAUAAGGGUUUUGAAAAAGGCUACAUAUUUAUCAUUAUAUGAUUGAUCUUGAUCUUUUUUCCAUGAGAUUAUUGAUUUUUCUGGCAAUUUCACAUUCAUACAUUAUUAGGAAAUCAGUUUUCAUCCUGGUUGCCGCCCGCGGUAAAAAAUAACCAUUAUUGAUGAAUGGUCACAAUAUGUUUGUACAAAUUUAGUGAUGAAUUCGCAAAAACUAUAUAACGUGCUGUAAUUACUUUUUUUGAAAUCAGCGACAAAUUUGAUACAAAAUAGCUAUGAAUUUACCCAUGUUGCUCAUCAAUUGAAAUAGUUUUCCAUACUCUAUCACUGACUGUCACUAUAUGUCUGUUGUUGAUCCAUCAUGAAGUUUCCGUUAAUAGUUCAUCGUAAAGUUUCCAUUACAAACUCUAUCCUGAUCUCAUAUCUAU